GGUCGUGUAGCGAAAUGGCAUCGCGUCAGUUUCCGGAGCUGAAGGUUGUGGGUUCGAGUCCCACCAUGAUCG
rnacentral:tRNA from 1 species